rnacentral:tRNA from 1 species
ACAAGUAAGUGUUUAAACACAUAAGGUUUUGAGUCUUAAAUUUACAGUAGUGUAAGC